CAGCAACGUGUACAAGUGGGGGACCAGCUUUCCCCUAGUUCCCUUGUGUCCUCAAACUGCUGAAAUGUGGCUAACAAAGUCAUAAGCUAAUUGAGAGAGCAGGGUGUGAUGAGAGUCAAGCAGGCAGCUUGGGCCACCUGGGAAAGGACUGCCUACAGCUGAGAGUGUUUAAGUUGAAAAACUGUUAAAAGGAGGGGUCUCUCCUAGCAACUGCUUUUGGUAUUUCUGUUUAGGGACUCUGGCUUGGAAAGACUUAUUGGGGUGCUUUUGCUUGUCUGUUCUUGGCUUCAACAUCAACUCAGUGUUUUCAGAAACAAAGAGUAUGCAACCACUGAGAGCAUCCUCCACGUGAGUUAAGAAUGAGAUCUACAGAACUGCUGCCCUGGGACAGUGAGAGUGCCAACAUCACAGAACUGCUUGGACUUUAAUAGUACUGUUGAGGAAUGUGUACCUAUAGAGAUUGCAGCAAUGGUACCUACAUUCCUGCAGGCAAACAAAAUCUGUGUCUUCAUUAGAAGAGUCUGGCUGUAAUGAAAAAGCUGGUGGGGGGGAGGAGAGGAGAUGGUUUGCUUUAUGAGCUGGGAUGCCAGUUUUGCAAGGAUCUGAUGCCAGCUACCAUUCAGUUUGUUCUUGGAAGACAUUCAGUGAACUGCUGGUUGCUUGCAGGGAGACUGAAACACACUAGUGUGAGUUCUGAAAUCCAAAAUACUUCCCCUUUUUCUCUUCUACUUAGUGCUUCGGCAUGCAAAAUUGGACACUGGUGAACUGAGAUGAACUGGUUCAGUGGUUCCACUCGCCAUUCCCAUGAGAACGGCCAUAACCCUUAUCUAUGGCCUAGCAGAUUCUGCUUGUGAAAAGGCCCAAGAC